GAAACUGGGGGAAGAGGGGACUAGGCAGGGCUCCUCCUAAUCCAGCAGAUUCCUGAAGUUUCUUAGUAUUUUCCCCCCAUAUAGUUCAGUACUUUACAGCCACAGCGAAUGUAAGAAAGAUCCCCUGUAUGUCUCUGCCUUGUCUUGGGGUGACGCAGGUGCCCAGAGCAGCAGCCAGUGAGCAAGGGGCAGAUUUGCAUGAAGGGGCCGUUCUCCAGCCCUGGGGGUUUAAGAGAGAAUCGGAGGGUCCCAGCCACAGACCCAUUUGCCUCAGGAAGCCGAGCUCGUCUGGAUUCCCACCAUGGCCUGGGCCCCUCUGCUCCUCGCGCUGCUCACUUACUGCUCAGGUACCCGGUCCCAGUACGUGUUGACUCAGGAGCCCUCCUUGUUGGUGUCUCCUGAAGGGACUGUCAAACUCUCCUGUAGCGUGAGCAUCGUACCUGACAUCACCAGCAUCUACCCGUACUGGUUCCAGCAGCGGGGGGGCGGGGUGCCUCGCCUCCUCAUCUACGAUGCUAACGUGAAAGUGUCAGGGACCCCCGAGCGGAUCUCUGGGUCCAGCUCCGGUAACACGGCCUAUUUAACCAUCAGCGGGGCCCUGGCGGAGGAUGACGCUGAUUAUUACUGCCUCACUCACUACUAUCAAGGAGGGGCUUUUAAGGCUACACAGUGAGACACUCAGAUGGGGAACUGAGACCCAAACCUGCCUCCUCUCUGCUCUGCUCUGCAGUCUGUGCCCUGCUGGGACCUACCCAGGCUGCAGGUUGGCCUCAGACUUCCUCCUGCAGCCUGACUAAUCCUCAGUGGGGUUUGUGCCCCUCACUCCCUGCAAGGGGGCACGUGGGGUGUGUGUGUGUAGGGGAAAGACAGCUCCUCCCCUCCCCCUCCAUCACUCUGACCUGGUGGAGGGGCAGAGGUUGAGCUGUGCACUUGGCCUCCUCUCCUAGUUUGGGACUAACCAGCUUCCCCUCCAGUCAAACCAGUCUGGGGAACUCGUCCCCCAUCUCCAUUGUGUGGGGAGUGACGUCCUUUUCUCCCUGUGAGAGUCCAUCAGCCGGUUCGCCAACCUCCUCCCACCAGCUUGCCCCACAGAGAGAGCGGAGGGAUGGUGGGGGAUUAGGAGAGGGGUCUGUCCCUGUCCCAUUAGGUAAAGUGAAUCACAUAGGGCAGGAUCCCUGGUCAGACACAUGGCUUUCAGUGCUUUGAUUUUGCCAAGUUCUGAUCUAGAAAAUAGAACUCAGACACAUGCAGUGGUUUGUGUGACAGGACAAUACUUCUCUCUGCAGAAUCUCCCACAAUCCCCUGGAGCUGUGCACGACACGCGUGAGUGCAGAGAAAUUCCUCAUCCCACAGGGGCUCUCCCAGCAGUCAUGGGGCUUUUUGCACAGUUGUGCCCCAGUACUGAGUAGAUCAUCGGCACAUGGCCCGACAACAGUCAGUGAGGUUUGGAGGUGUCCCUAAGUGGGGAAAGCCAGCGACAAAGCCCUGGAUUCAUUGCUGUGAGCAGUGGGGACCAGUCACCUCUAAGGGAGCUCUUGGACAGCAUCACUCAAACCACACCAUCAGUGCACUGACAGUCUUGAUAGAUAUUGACCUGUAUCCAGUCUGCCUUUAUAGGGGCAGUGGAGAGGCCUGGGUAGGGGAGAAGUCCUGGCCAUACCAGGUGUCUGGCUUCACUGCAGUGAUUGCUGAGGAGCCCGGUCAGGGGCUGGAUUCAGCUGGAGCUAAUUGCUCGUUACUAGGGAAU